rnacentral:misc_RNA from 1 species
UUAAGUUCAGCGGGUAGUCCCGCCCGAUUUGAGGCCAGAUGUCAGAUAAGUUGUCCAACUGAAGGACGGUUAGAAGCGCGACACUAAGCAAUACUUCAACACUAACAGCGCAGAUAAUUAUCACACUGAUAGCGAUCCGUAAACGUUCACGCUAAUGCAUUUCAGAGGAGCCGACUCGCGAGAGCCCGCACGACCUCCAC